CACACACACACGCAUUCACUAAAUGUGUUUGUGAACAGACUAGCAUUAAUGGCAUUGCAGGGUAGUGCUCCUCAUCCUGUGUGAUUUCGUGAGGCUUAUAAUCAAUGUUAUUAUUGCUUUUUCUACCUGCUGGACAAAGUGAUGCAGAUUUCAAACUAUUAAAACACCACCACAAACUCUGUCUUCUCACAUAACAUUAACCCAGCACUUCUCUAAGACAGUUACAAGCAACACUGAAGAUAGUGGGAUACAUUUCAUAGGAAUAAAGGGCAGUGGUAGGCGUGCAUGCUCUCAUUUAGCAUGAAUCACCAGCUUUUUCUUUCAGCGUCAGCUACAAAAGAUAACAAAUAUCUCUUCUGUUCAGGCUCUGACUAGAUUUUAUGGGGGGGUGGCGCUCUGUUGUGUUACUAUAGAAACGUGAAACAUAAUAUGGAAGUGUAAGGGCUGUAAAGAUAUAGGUGAAGUAGUCUGUACACCUUAUCAGUUCCCUUUAUGUUGCAGCCUGGGUGUCAUAAAAGAGCAGUUUUUAAAGUUGAGUUGCUGCCACGUAGAAGACAAGUUGCAGUCCUCUUUAAUGCAACUCAGUUAAUCCAGACUAGACAAUAAAUAGUAAUGACUAUUAUUAAAAUUACAAUCACAGCUUUCAGUUUUACUGUGCUCCUGUGCACAAUGCAGAUACAGCAAGUGUAGAAUAAAUUCCUAAAUUUGUGGUUCCUCUGGAAAAAGAAUUGUCAGAGCUUAAUCUGUGUCUGUUCUGUGGUUUUGGGAUAUGGAGAUAAUCAUGCAUGUACAGUAAUAUACUUUGUUCAGUAGGAUAAUGACUGAUUUAUACUCUUACAUCUUGAGGAGAAUAAAACCCAUCACAUAGUGGCGGUUUGUGCACCAAUAGAAACAGCAGAAGGGCCUUGGCAAUAACCAGUACAGUGAGAUAUUGAGUAAAGGUAGUUUGAAAGUUUAGGUGGAAGUUAACAUGACGUAAAACAUGAACAGUUGGUGACAUUUUUCUAAAGGAUUUCUAAAGCAAAGUCACACCCAGGUUACUCCGGGCUGGUGGAAGGGUGAGUGUGUGGGAGGGGCAGAGUUCCACCCAAAAUGCGCCAUGUUUCUUCCAGAAAUUACAGAAGAAUGUUACAUAAGUAAGUGAUUACAACAUAUCGGAGCUGCACCAAGAAUGAAGGCAGGGGAGGGUCAUGAGUUGAGGUGAUAAAACUGUGUCUGCACUGAAAGACUAGGUCAGUGAGAGAGAGAGUGGGUGUGUGAUUGCAUAUGCAUGAAAGGGAGCAGAGGUGACUGCAACAUGUGGUUGCUUGGGUUUUUUAGCAGCCAGUUACCAGAAAGUCCUGUUGUGUAAAGUAGUAACUUGGAUAUUAGCCAGCUGGCCAACAUUUUCUCCACAGAUGCUGCAGUCCGUUGAGAGGAAUACACACCCUAACCCACACCCACACUAGCAACUUUUUUCAGUCAGUUGGCUUGAACAUGUUGCCCUACUAUAAUUGCUGCACAUAACAAGAACAUGAGAAUCAAUAAAACAUAUUGGUAAGCUAAAUAAACCUGUCAUACUUAAAGCUACAUUUGGUAACUUUUAUAAAGAUAGCUUUUUGUCAUAUCUGCUGAAACUAUCACUAUGUCUUGACAGUACAUGGGACGGUUAAGUGAAAAAAAAUCCUCCCCCUCCUCCUCCUCCUGCUUCUCCUGCUCUGCGGCUGAGCAAAAACAAACAAUCAGAGCCGAGGAGUCUCUGACGCAGCUGUCAAUCAUGUCAAUCACUGCUCAUGAACUGCGGUCAAACUGUCAAACUAGGCAGUGCUAGUCAAAUAUGAAUCAAGAUUUUGUUACUGCAUUGCCUAUUUCUCACUUCAGAUGUUUUCGGAAACAUAUUUUAGUGCACUGUUUAACUGAAGUCACUCCACUACUACUGCCUGGAUAUAAUGAUAGUAAGCAUAAUUUUAUUAAAUAUGAUAAAAACGUACUUUAACAAAUGGUUAUCUAAAAAUAUUUCUGGAAGCAUAACUUCAGCUCUACAACCGAGAUGUCUUGUUGAAUUGUUCUAAACGAGUGGUUUCUACUUUUUCUUUCUGUUUAUGCCCCGCUGCCCUGUCUGUGGCACCAAAGUACCCCUUCAUCAACACCACCCAUCAUGUUCCAAAUGUGUUCAUUUAAAUCAGUUUUAAACUAAUGUAUUUAACAGUAGUAAUGAUAUACAAGUGGAUUAAGCAGUCAAUGAUUGGUUCACUUUGGUCCAGUUUUCAUGCAUUCUACUACCACUUGCAGUCAAGAUAACUCAACAGAUGUGUGUAGGAAAGUUAUGUACAUUCACAGGUUUGAAGAUGGUCUUUGCACUGUGAACAAUGUGUAUUUUGAUUAAAUAGAUAGCCACAAUUGUCAUCUCCUUAUUUCUUUUUGUGGGAGAGAGGUUAAUAACGGCAUCGAAGUGUUUUGUACUCACUUAAAACGCCGCUCAAAAGUAUGGCUUCAUUUUAAUUUGAAAAAGGACGGAUUGGGACAGUGCAACACCUGUGAAAAACUUACUACUGCCAAAGGAGGUUGCACAACAAACAUGACUAAACACCUUCACAUGCAUGGUAUAAUAAUUAACGAGUGUACUGUGUUUAACUCGUUGAGUUGCUCUCCUGCUCCCGUCGCUUCCUCCACUUCUUCGGACAGUCAACCAUCAGCCAGCAACUCCUCGUUGCAAACGGAAUCAGUUGUUGAACGUUCUCAGAGUGAAGCUAACGUUAGCCAGUCUGAGCCUGCUGCUGCUGCUACGUUAACCAGCCAGCGACCCCAGCCAGCAGAGUCGUUUCUUCAACCAGCAAAGAAACAACGUGACACCCCA